UACGUAGGUGGCAAGCGUUGUCCGGAAUUAUUGGGCGUAAAGCGCGCGCAGGCGGUUCUUUGAGUCUGAUGUGAAAGCCCACGGCUCAACCGUGGAGGGUCAUUGGAAACUGGAGAACUUGAGUACAGAAGAGGAAAGCGGAAUUCCACGUGUAGCGGUGAAAUGCGUAGAGAUGUGGAGGAACACCAGUGGCGAAGGCGGCUUUCUGGUCUGUAACUGACGCUGAGGCGCGAAAGCGUGGGGAGCAAACAGG
rnacentral:rRNA from 1 species